rnacentral:tRNA from 1 species
UUCUGGUUAGCUCAGUUCGUAGAGUGUUCCACUGAAAAUGGAGAGGUCCCCGUUCGAUGCCCGGACCAGGUG